rnacentral:tRNA from 1 species
CGCCCGCCGACGAUCAGGCCGGGCGCGCGUUCCUGUUGCUCGGCACCGACGACGAGGUGCACCGGCCCGGCGGUUCGGAUCCGACGUGGACGC